UCUUUCGUCCUCCACAUCUCUCUUUUCAUUGUAGAUCGUCGUCUCCACAUCACAGCGGUGAGUGCGGAGAAGAAAGCAAGAUGGAUCUUUGUAUAAUGAGUUUUAUUGAUCUCUGCACAAAAACUUCUCGUCAUUUUACCCACUCCUUUCAAUUUCGUUUCGUAACUCUGAUUCUUUUUCUUGUUUUCUGAAGUUGUUACUGAUAUGGUUAUAUGUUGUUGCAUAUUAAUCCUUGACCAAAACGAAAAGAUCGAACCCCUACAAUGGUAUAUAGUGCUAGAGGAGAAUCUUCUUCCAGCUCGGAUACUUUGAAUUCAACUCCAGAAUGGAAGUAUGACGUUUUCUUGAGUUUCGCAGGUGAUAACACUCGCAGGAAUUUCACAGAUCACUUGGACGAAGCCUUCAAUAGAAGUGGCAUCAAAACGUUUGGGGAUGAUAAAGAUCUUGAGAUAGGGGGAUUCAUAAAACAACAUCUGUUUCAAGCAAAUCAAGAUUCUCUCUGGCUAAACAUGAAGAUCAAUUAAUCGAAAAUACAACGAAAGUGCAGAAUUGGUGAAGUCCUUUGCUUGAAAUUGCCAACAUAUCUGGUUGGAACACUAGGGGCAACCACAAAAAACUGUCACCAUCGUCAUCUAAGGCUACGUUUAGAUCGCAGUUGGAGAAGACAAAAGCACUUGGGGAAGUGUGAAAUUGAGUUACAAAAGUCAGUUGGACUAGAAGUCAGUUUUGCCCGAUCAGUCCAAACAUACCCUAAUAAGACAUCAGCUUCACCAAGUCUUCUUCGCCUCGAGUUUCUUGACAAUAGCUCUCCAUUCUCCCUCAAUCCGAUGAUGCUCUAAAGGAGGACAUAUCAGACUUUUUCGACUUCUUCUUCCUUUUCACCCUUUCGAUUUUUUCCCCAAAACCUCCUAUCCUUCCCUCUCUUUUUUGGAAGUUGGUUAUCAAAUCGAAGGAACAUUGGCAGUCAGGACGACAAUUUAUUUGGCUGAUAGCCUGAUAUGAUGAUGGAGUCUUCUGACGGCAACUCCUAUCCCACCGACUUCCGUCAACGGGUUUCAGAGUAUAUCCUUUACAAGUACUUGAUUUAUAAGAUUCUUUGGUAUUUUGCGUGACAAACAACAAGAAUGUCAAAAAAAAAAAAAAGGGAAACAAAAAGCAAAAGGGGAGUGAAAGCUGGAUGCAAAAGGAUGCGAACAUGGACAAUGGGCUUUGAAACCCAAAUGACUGUUUUUUAAAUGCACAGCCAAUACAAUUUGGAUUCUGGACACCAUUACCAACACUUAUAGGUUUUGUAUAUCAUCUUUUCCACACGUUUUGCUCUUUUUCAAAAACAAAAUUAUAAGAUUCUUAUUUC